GUGGGGAAUAUUGGACAAUGGGGGGAACCCUGAUCCAGCCAUGCCGCGUGUGUGAAGAAGGCCUUUUGGUUGUGAAGCACUUUAAGCGAGGAGGAGGCUACCGAGAUUAAUACUCUUGGAUAGUGGACGUUACUCGCAGAAUAAGCACCGGCUAACUCUGUGCCAGCAGCCGCGGUAAUACAGAGGGUGCAAGCGUUAAUCGGAUUUACUGGGCGUAAAGCGCGCGUAGGUGGCCAAUUAAGUCAAAUGUGAAAUCCCCGAGCUUAACUUGGGAAUUGCAUUCGAUACUGGUUGGCUAGAGUAUGGGAGAGGAUGGUAGAAUUCCAGGUGUAGCGGUGAAAUGCGUAGAGAUCUGGAGGAAUACCGAUGGCGAAGGCAGCCAUCUGGCCUAAUACUGACACUGAGGUGCGAAAGCAUGGGGAGCAAACAGGAUUAGAAACCCUGGUAGUCC
rnacentral:rRNA from 1 species